AGGACGAACGCUGGCGGCGUGCUUAACACAUGCAAGUCGAGCGGAAAGGCCCUUCGGGGUACUCGAGCGGCGAACGGGUGAGUAACACGUGAGUAACCUGCCCCCUACUUUGGGAUAACCCCUCGGAAACGGGGGCUAAUACCGGAUAUGACUUGGCCCGGCAUCGGGUUUGGUGGAAAGUUUUUCGGUGGGGGAUGGGCUCGCGGCCUAUCAGCUUGUUGGUGGGGUAAUGGCCUACCAAGGCGACGACGGGUAGCC
rnacentral:rRNA from 1 species